UGUGCAUCAACAUUUGGCGCCGUUUGUGGGAAUCGAUACGAAAUGCUAUGUAGGAAACCCUUAUUCUAUAAAAGGGAUCCUCUUCACCUUUACUAAGGGGGGACUCAAGAAGAGAGAAAGAGAAAACAAGAGAGCAGACACUGCCUCUAGUGUCUCCAUGUAUAUUCAACAUUCAUUUACAUAGUGAAACGGAAUCAACACCAGUGUAGACGUAGCCUCAACUUGAGGUGAACCACGAUAUAUCUUUGUGUUCUUGUGCGUUUGUGUGAUUCACGGUCGGAUUUACGUUGGUCCAAGAUCCACCGGAUUUUGUGCAUCAACAUUUGGCGCCGUCUGUGGGAAUCGAUACGAAAAGCUAUGUAGAUUCUCUCUACUUUUUUCAUCAAACCUCACAACCUCCACCGUGAAUCUGCAGAAACCUAAGAACCAAACACCUGUACAGUCACUGCAAAACCCAUGUCUUCCGCUCCAGCUCCCGAUCAUGGCAGCAGCAAUGGAAACACAAUCACAGCCUCUCUCUCUUUGUGCGCAGUUGUUGAAGCUCGAAGACGCAACAAUGGCGACGAGGUUGAUACGGAGGGCCAUAGCUUCUGCGGUGGCGUCGGGAUCAACGACGACGGCGUCGUUUCGUUACGCCUGUGUCCGGGCUAUGGCGUCGGAGGCCCAGGCCCAGCAGGUGGACCUCAAAGUCCCGAGACAAAAUGAACAUCAAAACAUUCUCAAUCUACCGGUGGAACCCGGACAACCCGAAAAAGCUGGAGCUCAAGGAGUACGAGAUCAACCUCAAGGAGUGCGGGCCCAUAGUGCUUGACGCCCUCACCAAGAUCAAGAACGAGAUGGACCCCACCCUCACCUUUUGAAGAUCUUCCCGGGAAGGGAUCUGCGGCUCCUGUGCCAUGAACAUCGACGGUUGCAAUGGCCUGGCCUGCCUGACGAAGACACAGUUCAUGGAUUUUUUUUAUCUGCUGGAGCCAUGCAGUUUACUUCUGGGGGACUCAAAACUGUCAUCACUUCUCAACCCAAGCGAUGCCGACGCUGGAUAACUCGUCUAAAAAUCAGUGUCAGCGCUUGCCGCGAGCAGGUCAUGCAUCCUGCAACUGUCGGUCAUGCUCAACCCACGGGAGAACAUGGAAGAAGAUAAGAACUUUAUCUUUUCUCAAAUGAUUUGUUUAAUAUUAUCACUGUUUAUUUAAUAUUUUAUUAUUUAUCUUUAAUCAUUCCUGACCACUACAUUCAUUAUUUAAACUACCUUUAUUAUUUAAAUGUUAUGGUGAAAUUUUCAUCAUGAAGAGGACGAGUACAACCCACUAUCCCACUGACAAACCUACGAAAAAACUCACAAAUGAGAUAAAAGUAUUGUUAUCAUCCUUUCCAGCUCAUUGUUUAUUAUUUUAAUAUUAUGUUGACCAGAAACACAUCACAUCUCAAAUCAUAAUCAUUCCUAUCAUAACUUUAGUAUUAUUACCCUUUGAUAUUGUCGGUCACCUCCUUUUAAAAUGCUAUAACUUUAAUCAUUUUUUAGAAUAUUUUAUUCAUUAUUUAAAUAUUAGAAUAAAAUUUUGGGCUAGCCUUUAUUUGAUUACCCACUGUCUCACUGUCAGUUUGGAAAAACCCACUAAGGAGAUAAAUCCAUGGCAACCACACCACACGCAUUCUAUGUUACAUUAUUAAAUUUCAUUAAAUUAUAUUGUCAUACACAUUUCACUAGGCAUACUACAUUAUUGUAUGUUUAUAUGAUCUAUGUGUGAUGUUACCCGCAAUAUGCACACUUUAAUGAUUGAUUGCUUGUAUACGAUACUCAUACAAUUUAUUGAUUAAACAAGGACCAAAAUUAUGGUGGUCAACACUAUGGAUCAGCCUAUGGAUCACUGAGCCACAUGCUUAUGGUGACAAAGAUUUAGUUCGAAUGAUGAUUUCUUGUCUGACAAGACACUCACUUGCUCAGACACUUGCUUAUUUGGACACCUAUGUGCCUGAACACCCGUGAGCUUGGAUACCCAUUCGUUUGGGCACCUACGAAAUUGAACACCCUUGAGCUCGAACCUCGACUCACGGACCCAACUUAUGAACCCAACUCAAAGACCCUACAGAUGGCCGCGACUCGAUGACCCUACGUAUGGCCCCGACUUAAAGACCCGACUUGUGGACCCGAUCCGUGGAUCCGACACAGACCCAUAUACAAACCCACAAAGCGGAUCCGAGUCAUAUCGAGAAUUAACUCAUAAUGAGCUCACAUUGACGUCGAGUACAUACUCGCGACGAAGAACGCCACAAACCGAGCCGCCUUGCAACGAGCACUGCCUCCAGCCGAGCAACCGCCUCGUCGAGAGCGUUGCCUCUAGCCGAGCAGCCUCGCAACGUGUGCUACCUCUAGUUGAAUAUUACUUGACGUUAAGCACCGUCUCAUGUCGAGUAUUUAUUCUGGACGACAUUUAGUCACUUCGGCCCGUACAUGGAUUGGAUUUGAAGUCUCCAGCCAAGGCAUAGACCCAUAUACAAACCCAACAAGCGGAUCCGAGUCAUGUCGAGAAUUAACUCAUAAUGAGCUCACGCUGACGUCGAGUACAUACUCGCGAUGAAGAACGCCACAAGCCGAGCUGUCUCGCAACGAGCACCGCCUCCAGCCGAGCAACCGCCUCGCUGAGGGCAUUGCCUCUAGCCGAGCAGCCUCGCAACGUGUGCUACCUCUAACUAAGUAUUGCUUGACGUUAAGCACCGUCUCAUGUCUAGUACUAGUUCUGGACGACAUCUAGUCACUUCAGCCCGCACAUGGAUUGGAUUUGAAGUCUCCAGCCAAAAGACUCUCUUGACUGAAGACUUGGAAGACUCCUGUUGUACCAUAUAUUGGCCUCGAUAUUUGGGCCUCGAUACAUGUGCUUCAUUACUGAGCCCAUGAUUUAUGUAAGAAGAGGAAACUCUUAUUCUAUAAAAGGGAUCCUCAUCACCUUCACUGAGGGGGGACUCAAGAAGAGAGAGAGGGAAAACAAGAGAUCAGACACUGCCUCUAGAGCCUCCAUGUAUAUUCAACAUUCAUUUGCAGAGUGAAACGGAAUCGACACCAGUGUGAACGUAGCCUCAACCUGAGGUGAACCACGAUAUAUCUUUGUGUUCUCGUGCGCUU
rnacentral:lncRNA from 1 species